rnacentral:rRNA from 1 species
GACGAACGCUGGCGGCGUGCUUAACACAUGCAAGUCGAACGGAAAGGCCCUGCUUUUGUGGGGUGCUCGAGUGGCGAACGGGUGAGUAACACGUGAGUAACCUGCCCUUGACUUUGGGAUAACUUCAGGAAACUGGGGCUAAUACCGGAUAGGAGCUCCUGCUGCAUGGUGGGGGUUGGAAAGUUUCGGCGGUUGGGGAUGGACUCGCGGCUUAUCAGCUUGUUGGUGGGGUAGUGGCUUACCAAGGCUUUGACGGGUAGCCGGCCUGAGAGGGUGACCGGCAGGCGUGGGACGGAGGCAGGGCCGAGGCUGCGAGGGGAGGAAGGGGAGGGGACAUGCACAGAAGGGUGACAAGCCAGGGGCAGCAGGGGCGCGGGGGGGAGGACGGGCUGCGGUUGCAACGCCGGUGGGGCGUGGGACGGGGCGUGGGGGGAGGAAAGGGGUAAAGACGCGGAGGCCAACGGCGGACGGGCAGCGGCGGGGAUAGGAGGAAGAGCAAGCGUCUAAGC